rnacentral:sRNA from 1 species
UCAGGAAAACCAAAGCCAGCUCUGCACUGAACUGCGUUUUUAUAGCUGCCAUAGUAGUCUAGUGCGCUGUUUACCCGACCAGACAGACACCACAAAACCGGCCAAGCGUGAAGUCGUCACCAACGCGAAUUCAAAGUCAACAACUGACCUACAAAUAUACAGAAAAAUGGGUUCCACGGUAAGAUGCUUAACAUAAAACAG